rnacentral:snoRNA from 1 species
UUAAAUGAUGAAGAUUUUAAUUUUCCGUUGGUCUAUUAAGAACAGAAGUACUUCAAAACUACUUUUCAAGACCAUCCUUUUGCAGUAUUUUAAUAUUGUGAAACUUCUCAUUUACUUUGUGUCUUUAUGGCUCAUCGUUCUGAUGAAUCAUGAUUAGAAACGAGGUAUACUGCAUUAAUUUGUUGGAGAAUAUUGGGAGUCUUUUAAUGUGAUGAGUGGCCAACACAACCUUAUAGUCAUAGUUACACUGAUU